UAGUCUGGUGCCAGCAGCCGCGGUAAUACGUAGGGAGCAAGCGUUGUCCGGAAUUAUUGGGCGUAAAGAGCUCGUAGGCGGUUCGGUAAGUCGGGUGUGAAAACUCAAGGCUCAACCUUGAGACGCCACUCGAUACUGCCGUGACUUGAGUCCGGUAGAGGAGUGUGGAAUUCCUGGUGUAGCGGUGAAAUGCGCAGAUAUCAGGAGGAACACCAGCGGCGAAGGCGGCACUCUGGGCCGGUACUGACGCUGAGGAGCGAAAGCAUGGGGAGCAAACAGGAUUAGAUACCCUGGUAGUCCAUGCCGUAAACGUUGGGCACUAGGUAUGGGAUCAUAUCAACGGAUUCCGUGCCGUAGCUAACGCAUUAAGUGCCCCGCCUGGGGAGUACGGCCGCAAGGCUAAAACUCAAAGGAAUUGACGGGGGCCCGCACAAGCGGCGGAGCAUGUUGCUUAAUUCGAGGCAACGCGAAGAACCUUACCUGGGUUUGACAUGUAGGGAAAAGCCAUAGAGAUAUGGUGUCCUUUUGGGCCCUACACAGGUGGUGCAUGGCCGUUCUU
rnacentral:rRNA from 1 species